UACGAGGGGGGCAAAUGUUGUUCGGAAUUACUGGGCGUAAAGGGCGCGUAGGCGGCCUGCUAAGUCGAACGUGAAAUCCCCGAGCUCAACUCGGGAACUGCGUCCGAUACUGACAGGCUUGAAUCCGGGAGAGGGAUGCGGAAUUCCAGGUGUAGCGGUGAAAUGCGUAGAUAUCUGGAGGAACACCGGUGGCGAAGGCGGCAUCCUGGACCGGCAUUGACGCUGAGGCGCGAAAGCUAGGGGAGCAAACGGG
rnacentral:rRNA from 1 species